rnacentral:rRNA from 1 species
AUUGAACGCUGGCGGCAGGCCUAACACAUGCAAGUCGAACGAGCGGCGGACGGUUGAGUAAUGUCUGGGCAUCUGCCUGAUGGAGGGGGAUAACUACUGGAAACGGUAGCUAAUACCGCAUACAAUCAGAUGUGCCCAGAUGGGAGUAGCUAGUAGGUGGGGUAAUGGCUCACCUAGGCGACGAGCCCUAGCUGGUCUGAGAUGAUGACCAGCCACACUGUAACGGAGAGACGGGCCAGACUCGUACGGGACGAGGAAGUGGGGAAUAUUGCAUAAUGGGCGCAAGCCUGAUGCAGACAUGCCGCGUGUGUGAAGAAGGCCUUCGGGUUGUAAAGCACUUUCAGCGGGGAGGCGUUACCCGCAGAAGAAGCACCGGCGAACGCCGGGCCAGCCGCCGCGGUAAUAA